UUUUUCACCCUAUCAUAAUACCAUGAUAUAUACAUAUAUGUUAUGGUGCUUAAUUUGCUUCUGCAACUUCAUAUUAAGGAAACAAAUCAAGCAUAUAUAUAUAUAUAUAUAUAUAUAUGCUCUCAAUAUGUAGUAUCUUUCUUUCAAUCAAGAAACUCAUCAGAACCAAUCUUUAGAAAACAGCUAUUGGAAGAAGAUAAUUUAAAGAAGCAAUGAUUUCAAGGGCCACAUCUAGCUUUCAAAGUGUUCAUCAUCAAGGGCUUCAGAUGUUCCCUGACGCGGAAGAUUUUGUGUCACCCUCUGUGGAAUCAGGCUCAGGUACUUCACACUCUAGUUCCCUCCUCUUCAAUCUCUCUAUUCUGAAGGACAAGCUUAGUGAGGUGCAGACCCUGGUAGGUGUUAUUCUCUCCCCAAAUCAAAGCCUACCCGAGUCAACUUCCAUGGCCAUAUCCAGCAUGAACUCCACAAUCCAAGAAAUCGUAGUGACUGCCACAUCAAUGAUGUUCACCUGCCAACAGAUGGCUCUCACUGCCCCUCCAGGUACUAAUAAUAAUACUAACAAAUUGCACCACCACCAGAACAAGUCGUUGCCUCACUCAUCAAAUAUUAAUUUUGCCACAAAUGGAAGCUGUGUACUUGGUAAUAACAUAGGAACAGAUAAUAUCAGUGACCAUCAUGGUUUAUUUUCCAGUACUGAGUCAGAGACACUUGACUGGUUUAGUGAAAGCUAUAACAAUAACGAUGAUAAUAGCAAUAGCAAUAUUAUUAGUAAGGUUGCGAUCAGUGAAAACAAUAUUAUUACUAGAGGAGGAGGAGGAGGAGGAGUACUGUCUCCAAGGGAUGAACCUAAUGAAGAAGGGCUUUCACCAAAGAUGAAUAGUGAUGAUAUAAUUAUUGAAUUAGAUGCUGCGAAUCUGUUAGCUAAGUACACACACUAUUGCCAAGUUUGUGGCAAAGGGUUCAAGCGUGAUGCGAAUUUGAGGAUGCACAUGAGGGCUCACGGGGAUGAGUACAAGACCAAUGCUGCUUUGAGUAACCCAAUUAAGAACCAAAGAGAUCUAGAGUGUUUGAUGAGUGUGAAGCCAAAGAGGUAUUCGUGUCCUCAAGAGGGGUGUAGGUGGAACCAGAGGCAUGCCAAGUUCCAGCCACUGAAGUCAAUGAUUUGUGCCAAGAACCAUUACAAGAGAAGCCACUGCCCCAAAAUGUACGUGUGCAAGAGGUGCAACCAGAAGCAGUUCUCGGUGCUCUCUGAUCUGAGGACACAUGAGAAGCACUGUGGGGAUCUCAAGUGGCUGUGCUCGUGUGGCACCUCGUUUUCUAGAAAAGACAAGCUUAUGGGUCAUGUGGCUUUGUUCGUGGGGCACCAACCAGCUAUCAACAACAAUGGUCUCUCAUAUUCGGGAAAAUUAAUUAGAGCAGCACCACACAUUGCAAAUGCAGAUUGAUGGUAUAUAGCUCAAGAUGAUGUUUAUGUCUCUAUCUAUCAUGAUUGAUUGAUCAUAAAGAGCAGGUGCAGCUUCUAUAUUUCUACCACUUGGUCUCGCUACAACGCUACAUACAGUUUGCCCCAAUAGACUGGCGAAUGGCGAAUGGCGAUGGCACAGGGCUCUUGGAUCUUGGAAAUUUGGUAUGAAGAUUGGAGAGUAUUUUGUCUUGCAUUUCCUUCCUGAGCGGUUUUUCUUUAAUCGAUUUCUUUUAAAGAGAGUACAUAAGUGUGAUGUACCAUUAAAUUGUUUAGUGAACACUAUAAAAUCCUUAUAGUAAGACUUCACUGAAAAAGUUCUACAUAUGAUCCUUCAAAAAGAAAGAAAAAGUUCUAUAUAUGAUAAGUCAUAUUGUUAGGUAAAAUUAUAAUACUUAUACUAAUUUAAUAGUUUAAUAUAUAUUGUAACCUAAAUAUUUUGUUAAAAAAAUUUAUAGCAGCGGAGACAAGAUAAAGGACUAACUUUUCAUAUAUAGAACUUUUUUCAGUGAAGCGAUAUACUUAUUUAAAGGUGAACACACACUUAAGACAAUCUCAUUAGAUCAGUUUUUGUCGGAAUUCCUUGGUGUUAAUGUCUAACAUCGUACACUGUAUGGAAGAAUUAUAACUUUAAACCAAUAUCCAUGGGACUAAUUAAUAAUGUCGUA